rnacentral:rRNA from 1 species
CCUACGGGAGGCAGCAGUGGGGAAUAUUGCACAAUGGGGGAAACCCUGAUGCAGCGACGCCGCGUGAGCGAUGAAGUAUUUCGGUAUGUAAAGCUCUAUCAGCAGGGAAGAAAAUGACGGUACCUGACUAAGAAGCCCCUGCUAACUACGUGCCAGCAGCCGCGGUAAUACGUAGGGGGAACUCGUUAUCCGGAUUUACUGGGUGUAAAGGGAGCGUAGACGGCUGUGGAAGUCAGAGGUGAAAGCCCGGGGCUCAACCCCGGGACUGCAUUUGGAACUGUGUGGCUGGAGUGUCGGAGAGGCAGGCGGAAUUCCUAGUGUAGCGGUGAAAUGCGUAGAUAUUAGGAGGAACACCAGUGGCGAAGGCGGCCUGCUGGACGAUGACUGACGUUGAGGCUCGAAAGCGUGGGGAGCAAACAGGAUUAGAUACCCGAGUAGUC